rnacentral:rRNA from 1 species
CCCUUAGAUGUUCUGGGCCGCACACGCGCUACACUGAAGGAGGCAGCGUGUACUCCUGGAUCGAAAGAUUUGGGUAACCCGCGAAUCUACUUCGUGCUAGGGAUUGAGGUUUGCAAUUAUCCUUCAUGAACGAGGAAUUCCCAGUAAGUGCAAGUCAUAAGCUUGCGCUGACUACGUCCCUGCCCUUUGUACACACCGCCCGUCGCUACUACCGAUUGAAUGAUUUAGUGAGGACUUCGGACUGGGACCGAUGCGGCUUUCGGGCUGCGUCGGUAUUCUGGAAAGAUGUCCAAACUGUAUCAUUUAGAGGAAGUAAAAGUCGUAACA